rnacentral:rRNA from 1 species
CCUACGGUGGGCAGCAGUGGGGGAUAUUGCACAAUGGGGGGAACCCUGAUGCAGCGACGCCGCGUGGGCGAUGGAGUGCUUCGGCAUGUAAAGCCCUAUCAGCAGGGAAGAAAAUGACGGUACCUGACUAAGAAGCCCCGGCUAAAUACGUGCCAGCAGCCGCGGUAAUACGUAUGGGGCAAGCGUUAUCCGGAUUUACUGGGUGGAAAGGGAGCGUAGGCGGCCUGGCAAGCCUGAUGUGAAAUAACGGGGCUCAACCCCGGGGCUGCAUUGGGAACUGCCAGGCUGGGGUGCCGGAGAGGCAGGCGGAAUUCCUGGUGUAGCGGUGAAGUGCGUAGAUAUUAGGAGGAACACCAGUGGCGAAGGCGGCCUGCUGGACGGUGACUGACGCUGAGGCUCGAAAGCGUGGGGAGCAAACAGGAUUAGAUACCCGAGUAGUC